UGGAUUAAAUAGGUUGGGUACUGACACAUUUUUUAGGGAUGGAGUUGCUCUAAGAACUAGCUCAGUUUCAAGUUGUUUGAAACUUUGGCGCCCUCGUCCACCUUAGCCAAAAUUUUCUUCAAAUAAUGGUCAUGUGACAAGUUUAAAGGAUAUUUUUCAAAAGCAUUCUUUUGAUCCAAAUACCCUAUAAUCAUAGUUUCCAAAAUAAAAAAAAUUAAAAGGAAAACCCUAUAAUCAUACUUACCUGAUUGUUAAUCGAAAUUGGAUACGCUUGUUGUAUGGAAUGACGAGAAACCCUUGACAAAUGACCCUUGUACUUGUCUGGUGACCUUUUUAUAACGAAACAAAUAGGCGGAAGUGUUGCAUUUUCACACAUGUAGUUUCAUGUGGUUAAUUGCAAAAGAAAUAAAUAACUAGUUAGAUAAAAGUGGAAAAAUGAACGUAACGAAAUUAAUGGGUAACGAUUUUCAUACUUUUAGUCGUAUGUUCUUUUUUUUUUUUUUUUUUUUUGGAGCAAGGGUAACAUACAUUACCAACAACAAACAGUAUAAACACUCCAACACAGAGGUCCAAAAAUUACAACA
rnacentral:lncRNA from 1 species